UUUCCUUUAUUCAAAUACUAAAAAUAAACCUGGAAUCUUAGGGAAAGGGUGCAAUUUUGCGUAUGCAGUCUCUUGACUGAUAGAAAACUGAUAUAAGUAUAUUGUAUUUAUACAAAGUGAGGUUUGAAACAUGACCAGAGGAAAUCAGAGAGAUCUUGCCCGUGCAAAAGCUGCAAAAAAACAGCAAGAUCUGCAAAAACAAAAGAAGAGUUCAGAGAAGGGUGCCAAUAAAGGAUUAACUUUAGAUGAACGCCGCCAUAGGGAUGCAGAGAUAAUGAGGCUAAAACAGGAAAAGAAAGCAGGUGGUGGGGAAGGUGGUAGUGAACAAGGUGCUACAGGAGGAAAGUAAAACAAAAGGCUGAAGUACAAGUCAUUGUGAACAACUGAUGAUAUUUUUUUUUAUUAAUCAUUUGCAUUAAUUAUCAUUUUGUCCUAGUGUUAUGAUCGUGUCAUUUGCAUGUUUAUUUUGUAUAUUCUCUCUGAAUGUACAGUAUGGUUCAGUGAAAAUUCACUGAAUGCUGGUGAUCGUGAAUGAUUCACUCUGAAAUAGAUAUUGAAACAGACAUGAAUGAUAGUAUUUUGACCUCUAUCACUUACAAUCACCUUAUUUCACUGUGAUUCACCCAACACUAGCAAGAGUUAAUUUUACAUGAGUCAUCUUGUGUGUACUGUACAAUUAUCAAACCAAAUAUACACAGAAAAAUGUCAUAUACACAUAUAUUUUUUAGAUUAAUGGUUUAAAAUUGAAAGGAAUUAGGUUUAAUUAAUAAUUCAUAUAUUCAUUAUAUUGCUUAAUCUUUUUUAGGGGGGCAUUUCUGUCUUUUGGGCUAUAAAAAUAAAGGGUAUAUCCACCCCUCCCAUCAGGUGGCAUACAUGUAGUUAUGAGCAUAUACAUUUGUAGCUAAGUUAUAUGGUAUCUUUUAAAAUUAUGUCUGAAUAAUAAGAUCUGAUUGCUAACUUUGUAAUUUUGUACAGAGGUUUUAAUGGUGCAUUUGUAAAGUUGAUGUAUUGUUAUAUGUUCUUCAUCAUCAAAUACAUAGAAUGUAGGUAAAAGUAUUACGUAAACUGUUUUUCUAAAAGUCAAUACUUUUGCAAUAGUUAAAUCGGACUGCCUAAUGCUAUGUGAUAAGGGUUUUUGUAAAACAUUUAAAUUUUUCUGAUGAUUCAGAUUUAAUGUGUUUUUAUAUGUAUGAAUAAACAUUGUCAUUAUUA